UACGGAGGUUCCAAGCGUUGUUCGGAUUUACUGGGCGUAAAGGGAGCGCAGGCGGAUAGGUUAGUCUGAAGUGGAAGCCCGGGGCUCAACCUCGGAAUGUCUUCGGAUACUGCCUGUCUUGAGUACGUGAGAGGAAGGCGGAAUUCAGGGUGUAGCGGUGAAAUGCUUAGAUAUCCUGAGGAACACCAAUGGCGAAGGCAGCCUUCUGGCACGAUACUGACGCUGAGGCUCGAAAGCGUGGGGAGCGAACGGG
rnacentral:rRNA from 1 species